GUCUCACCUCUCUCAUAGACAACCCUAUAGCCUCCUCUGAGCGAAUCCUCCAUUAUCACCGGCGAGAUAGCUCCAAUCACAACCAAAAUCUGGCCAUGCAGCCAUCACCCCUCCUUGCAUCCUAAUCCACCACCAUUUUCCCAAAAUCCUCGGCAUAUCUCAGCUGUUUCAAAUCUGGAAUCGAAGAAGAUCAAAAUCUCUCAAGUCCUCGAGUUCUUGUGAAUGAUUGGGAUUGAAACGAGUAUUGCCCGUUUGUUCUCAAAGAGAAAAUAUGGCUAAUACCAGUUUUGAGUCUAGUCAGAGUCGUUUGAGAUUUAUUAAGCAUUUUCGCCAUGGCCUUCAAGUUAUUUUCUUUGUUAUUUCCCCUUCAUCUUCAUCUUCUCUUUGCCCGUACCCUUUUUUUUUUCUCUUUUUUGUCCGUUUUUACUUGUCCCUCUCCCUUUCUUCUUAUUCUUUAGUUUGAUUUCUUGGUUUGAAUUUGGUGAAAUAUUAAAAUAUUGAAUAUAUGUUUCUUUGUUUAUAUGGUAGUCGUACUCAUUCU
rnacentral:lncRNA from 1 species